UACGUAGGGUGCGAGCGUUAAUCGGAAUUACUGGGCGUAAAGCGUGCGUAGGCGGUUCGUUAAGAUCGUUGUGAAAGCCCCGGGCUCAACCUGGGAAUGGCAAUGGAAACUGGCGGGCUGGAGUAUGGCAGAGGGGGGUGGAAUUCCGCGUGUAGCAGUGAAAUGCGUAGAGAUGCGGAGGAACACCGAUGGCGAAGGCAGCCCCCUGGGCCAAUACUGACGCUCAGGCACGAAAGCGUGGGGAGCAAACAGG
rnacentral:rRNA from 1 species